GGGAACAGUCACUUCAAAGGUCCCAGCCCAAAUGUGGCAGAAGGUUGGGAAGAAGGGAAGCAUCGACCACGGGCAGCCUCCUCUCACGGACAGUGCCACCGAGACCUUCUGUCAGCAGCCUCAUGCUUGGCUAGGGCUGCACGGGAGACGUGAACAGCACCAGGAGAGCCCUCCAUCCCCACAAGGUUCUUAUGGACUGGGUCUGGUAACAAAGUGUAUCUACUCAGUCUCUAUGGGCUUGAAGGUCCCAGACAGCAUGGAUGCUAUAUCACCCAGUCCCUAGGAUCCAAUCACUCCAGUGUGCUUAUCAUCUGCACUUUACAGAUUGAGAAACCGAGGCACAGCAUUGUGCAACUCUUCUGUGCCACUUGGAUUGGAAGCUGAAUCCAGAGAGAGGGGCAGAGAUGGCUUUCAACACUGGGACAGGCAAGAGAGACGACAAGAUGAAGCUUAGAUGCCUCUGAGGUUCUAGGCACCAGCAUGAUGUUCAGGGUCGCUUGGGAAGUGUGGAUCUGGCUCUCGGGGCCCAUCACGGGGGCCUUGAAACAGUCACAUAGUACUUAGAGCAUGAAGCAGCUACCAUAAAAUAUCUUUUCA
rnacentral:lncRNA from 1 species